GAGUAUUUUAUAUUCUCAGCUCCAAUUAACCUGAAGUGUUUCUCUUCCCUGUCUCCCCCUCAGCCCAUCCCCUUCACCCAAGUCUAUCCUUCUACCCUUUUGUAACAGAUUCUUUUUCAGGGAACGGAUGUGUCACAUACUGUAGUGCAGUUAAUAAGCGUGGGCACAGAUGAAGAGGGAAGGGCAUGCUAUCAAGUAGUGGAUUAUCAGCUUCACCCUUUCCCGAUACACUCUCACUUCAGACCGCUCUUCCGUUUCCUCUGGCUGGUUGUUCGAGAGAACAGGGAGAGAGGGAGGACAUUGGGAUGCAGGAUCAGUGGACACCUGGGACCCCAGGAUCUCAGCAUCACGAUGACCCUUCCUGGAAAACUCGGUGGCCAGACUGUCCUGGGGCAGACAGAAUGACUUGGACCCAGGAUGCCUGAGACUCCCCACCAGAAUGGCUAACUUAAGGAUAUGCAGUCUUCUCAAUUUUCUCUUCCCAAAUCAAGAUUUCCUAUUUGUUCUCAUCUAUAGCAAGUUACACCUGCUAACUAAAACCCAUAUUAUGGGUCUUUGGUUUUUACUUUUCUGAGAAACUUGACUGGUUCGACCUGUUCUUCCCCUAGAGAUCCUGACCUUAAAUGCUCUCUGCCCCUUUCUUUCUCCAUGUUUGACUCUUCAGCCCUCAGACUGAUUGGCUAAUCUGACAUAAACAUGACAUUCUACUUGUGACCACCCAUUCAGCCAGGUGCUGUCAUGUGCAAUCUCUACACCCCAGAUUGUGCCUAUUUUAUAGACCAAAAAAGAUGGAAGUCUUAAGGAAGAAAAUACAGGUAAUUUAUGACAAAACUGAGACUUAAGUGAACAUGCUUUUUCCCUCUGUAUGUAUGGAUUUUAUUUAUCUUUAUCAAGCAUUUUGAUAUUCCAUUGUCUUCUAAGAAAUAUGCAAAGACUCUAUUGGGUGGAAGUGAAUACACUGUUUUAUUUUUGUAACUUUUUAACAUAUGGGAAAAUAUCUUACAAUCAAUGACAUUUGACAGCCACCCUUAGCCAAACAGCAGUUAUUACAUGGCUGCCAAUGUUUGUAUCUGCACAGACUUUUUUUUGUUAUUUUUGGUGAAUGACUGAAGAACUGAAAUCCUUUGAAUGUUUAGCCAGCAAUCUUUAAAUCGAGGGCCAUUUAACAAAA
ensembl:lncRNA